rnacentral:rRNA from 1 species
GGAGGGAUCAUUAGGAGAGUUUACAGCUGUUCCAGACCACAAUAAUUUAGCGCUGUCGCCUCGUAGGGUGUCGUGUGACACAGUGCUGCCACGGUACGAAUACAAAAGUAUCGUUUACUAAUGUCAAAUCGGACUCGAAGUCCGGAAUAAGUAUAAGAGCUCAACACGGGAUAUUUGGGUUUAGGCGGGCAAUAAGAACGCAGUUAUAUUCGUUAAGUAAUGUGAAUGGCAGAGUUCAGCGAAUCAUCGAACCUGAUCCGAGGUCAACCCCCAAAAAGUGCCCCCGGGCAGGCUGCGUUUAGCGUCAGUUGUACCGCUGGGCCGCGGAAGCGAGAGAGAGAAUUCCUACGAUGCGGGUCCUCACAGACUCCGGCGGAGUUUGUUAGGAGUUGGAGAGUAGUCAGUUUCCCAACAGUAAGUGCAAGCCGGCCAGAGAACAGCCGUUAGCACCGGCAUGUCCGGGGGCAUAUUAAUAGGGGCAGACCUCGGUUCAGGUUGGGAUGCCCCAUGAAAUUAAGCAAUUCACUAAGCGGAGGACAAGAAACCGACAGGGAUAGCGAUAGUAGAACCGAGAGAUGCGGCAACAGAUCAAAUAAGAAAUUUGGCAGUUUGAUCCGAAUUGUCAAAAUAGAGGAUGAGUUUGGUAGUCCACCUUUGGCAGCCCUGUGUCCAGCACCCGCCGAGAGGCGACCCCGGUAAGACACAUGCCGAGCGUGU